rnacentral:lncRNA from 11 species
ACCAGUCCUAAUAAUGGUAGUAUUUGGUGAGGAGGGAGGCGAGGGAGGGGCGUGGAGCCCAGCCUGGGAAGAGCCCCCUCCCCAAAGGCCCUCCCCUUCCUCUGCUCCCUCCCACUCACAACUUGGAGUCACAGAGAGAGAGAGAGAGAGAGAGAGAGAGAGAGAGAGGCGGGCUGGGCGCAGAAGGACGCUUUCUUGGCUCCUUCUUCCAGAGAAGAGCCAAGAGGCCAAGUCUCCUUGGUGGGGGUCUGCAAGAGGGUCAAAGAGACCCCUUUGUUUUCCCCUUUGGUUUGGUUUGGAGGCGAAGGAGCCAAGCCUUGCGGGAGGAACUCAGCUGAGCUGCAUUACUGGCAAUCGGAGCCCGCCCGGCGCCGGCAGAAUGAGCCAGGCUGGGCUCCUGCGCGCCGCCUCUCUCCUCCUCCUCUUCUUCUUCCUCUUCUGUGUUUCGUGGGGUCCGAGAUGAGCCCCCCGCCGGGCCCGGAGGAAGCCCCUCUCUCCCGCAAGCAGCGCCUGAUGGCUGCCGUGGAGGAGGAGGAACGAGGAAGAGCCUCCACCAACGCCUUGGGGUCUUCUCCUCCUCCUCCUUCUCCUUCUCGGGGGUCUCCAGACCCCUUACUGCGCUGCUUCGUCUGCGGAGGCGGCAUCCGGAGGGGCAAGGAGCUCAGGCUGCAGGUCCAGGCUCCCCGAGGCUCUUCUUCCCCCUUUUUCCCCUUUUUGCGCCACCAGGACCCGGCCCCGGGCGCCCAGGCGGUGAGCGGCGAAGGUUUUGCCCUGGUCUGUGCUGUCUGUCGCUGCUUCUUGACCGAGCAGUGGGACGCCUUCGAGAGGAGCCGCACCCCCGUGGAGAAGAGGCUCUACUGGCUCAAGAGGCCCCACCAAGGGGAAGCCGGCCCCCCCGGGGGACCCUCCGCGGGACCCCAAGACUGGGACUUCGAGGGCGGAGAAGAGGAGGAGGAAGAGGAGGAGAAGGAGACCCCUUUCCUGGACUCUGAGCUGUCCUCGCUUUCCGAGACGGAACCCCCUUGGGAGGAGCCUUGGGGCAGAGAGAGGAAGGUGGGACCCACUCAAGGACCCACUCAAGGACCCACUCAAGGACCUCAAGACAAGAAGGAGAAGAAGAAGCCGCAUCUUCUCUUCUCGAGGGACGGAGGAAGAGGACGGAGCCAGGAGGAGAGCGAAGAAGUCGACAUCGCGGAUAACAAGGCCAUGAAUGGCUCUCGAUAUCCGCCGCUGCCUUCUCUGCCAUCCACGAGCGAAGUGGCCUGCUAUGUUUGCGGGACUCUUCUCCCACCGGGCGCCCGGCAUCAGCUCCACGUCCAGAAGCAGGAACAGGCCUCCGGUGCGCCAUUCUUCCCCUUCUUGUGGCUCCACACCCCGCCACCGGGCGCCCUGCCCAUCAGUCCCGCCACCGGCACCACCGUCGCCUGCGCCGCCUGCGCCGCAUCCCUGGCGCAGCAGUGGCAGGGCUUCCAAGCGGCCGGCGUGCCCGUCCUGCAGCGCCUCUACGUGGUGCCCUUGGACCCCGCCGCCAAGCCCUCCACGACGGCAACCCCUCGGCAAGAGGCCUGCUACCUGUGCGGGGAGGAAUACGCCGCUGAGGAAGGCCGCCCCGUCCCGGCGAAGGUCCCCAACGGUGACGCCGAGGGCACCAUGCACUUCCCCUUCCUCCGCCUCCUGCCCUGCCCCCCCAACGCCAAGGGUCCCGACAAGCGCUGGGAGGUCCACAGCUGCCCCAAGUGCUUCGGCGUCCUGCGCGACCUGUGGGCCAUGUACCGAGCAUCCCGCAACGAGGACUUCAUCACAUCCGUCCAGAGCUUCCUAGGCAGGUAUCACCGGGUCUUUGCAAGCACGGACACCGUCAUCCCCGCCAGGCACUCCGUUUUGGCCAAACCGGGCCCGGCGUCUAUUUGUUACAUCUGUGGGGCUGAAUUAGGACCAUCACCGUCCAGUAAGGAGUGCCAGCUGAGCGUCAACCCUCCGGGCCGCUUUGGCGAGAAGGAGCCGUUCUUCCCCUUCCUGACGGUGUACCCGCCGGCACCGCGGGCCCGUCCGGCUGACUCCACGGGAAUCGUGUCGGCCUGUGUGUUGUGCCACCACGACUUGCUGGGCCAGUGGCUCCAGUACGAGAGCAGCCACGCUCCUCACCCCAGCAGCCCCUGGUCCAGGCAGUACAAAGUGGAGACCUUCGUCUGCUUCUUCUGCCGGCAGGAGCGGAAACGUUGCCUGGGAUUAAAAGCCGUCGAGGUUGCCCGCCUGCCCGUCUUCCUCUGCUCCUUCCGGGCGCCUGGUAGUUUGCUAGUGGACGACGGCAAGCGGCUGACCAUUGGAGCGUGCCCAGAGUGUGCCGCCCUGGUGCUGGCGGGCAAAGCGGCCGUGCCGCAGGACCUCCAAAAGGCCCCGGCCGCCUUUCCUUUGGAGGCUCCUGCGCUAAAACUCGCUGCGAGCGAAGCCACGCCGCGCACUUCGGAGGCCACGGCGCCAGGGAACGGACCCAUUCAGGAUCACAGGGCUGGCUUGGAUGUGGAAAGCCCAGCCCAGACAGCCACAAGUAAGACCCUGCGAAUGUUGUUGUGACCUAUGGUGCGGCCUCUGUGUCUGUGCAACCACACAAGGUUGCAAGAUAUUUGGGAUUAGGGCUUGCAUGUUUGUGGAGAGAGGACGGCGACCAAAGUGUGGGAAACACUUUUGGAGAGAGAAAGAGAUUUGGAUGAGUUGUUUACUUUCCAUAGAUCUAAAAGUCAAAGUAUGUACAGUAUGUUGGAUUGUUUGUAUCACAACUGCUCCUACAUAGCUUGAUAGACCUUGACCAAACCUGAUAUAUCUAAAUCUAGCAUAUCUAAAAGUCAACGUAUGUGUGAUGCCCCUACAUGGCUUGAUAGACCUUGACCAAACCUGGUGUAUCUAAAAGUCAACAUAUGUAUGUUGGAUUGUUUAUAUCCCA